rnacentral:rRNA from 1 species
AACGUAGGUGGCGAGCGUUAUCCGGAUUUACUGGGCGUAAAGCGUGCGCAGGCGGCGCCGCAAGUCAGGCGUGAAAUCCCCGAGCUUAACUUGGGAAUGGCGCUUGAAACUACGGUGCUGGAGUGUGGCAGAGGGAGGUGGAAUUCCACGUGUAGCGGUGAAAUGCGUAGAGAUGUGGAGGAACACCGAUGGCGAAGGCAGCCUCCUGGGCCAACACUGACGCUCAUGCACGAAAGCGUGGGGAGCAAACAGG